rnacentral:rRNA from 1 species
AACGAACGCUGGCGGCAGGCCUAACACAUGCAAGUCGAGCGAAGCCUUCGGGCUUAGCGGCGGACGGGUGAGUAACGCGUGGGAACGUGCCCUUUGCUACGGAAUAGCCCCGGGAAACUGGGAGUAAUACCGUAUGUGCCCUUCGGGGGAAAGAUUUAUCGGCAAAGGAUCGGCCCGCGUUGGAUUAGGUAGUUGGUGGGGUAAUGGCCUACCAAGCCGACGAUCCAUAGCUGGUUUGAGAGGAUGAUCAGCCACACUGGGACUGAGACACGGCCCAGACUCCUACGGGAGGUAGCAGUGGGGAAUCUUAGACAAUGGGGGAAACCCUGAUCUAGCCAUGCCGCGUGAUCGAUGAAGGCCUUAGGGUUGUAAAGAUCUUUCAGUGGGAAGAUAAUGACUGUACCCACAGAAGAAGCCCCGGCUAACUCCGUGCCAGCCGCCGCCGUAAGAC